rnacentral:tmRNA from 1 species
GGGGCUGAUCGGUUUCGACUUGGGACGUUAGUUCCAGGGGAAGCGGGUCGAGAAGCCAGCGUCAUCUCGUAAACGAUCGCUGGAAACAUAUAACUGCCAACUCCAAGCGCAGUUCCUUCGCUCUCGCCGCCUGACGCGGUGAUCGAAGCGUCUGACCGGGUAUCCGUCUUCGGCCCGGAUCCAGGCGUCGACUAGAAGACUCACCUUGCGUGCUGCGUCAGCGGGCCGCUAGGGACAUCUAGCUGACUGAGCCUGUCGGUGACGUGUCUGUGCGAGCACCGGGGCUGAGAAAAGCGACAGCGCAGACUGCACCCGGAGAAGACCUGGUUCGACGCUCGAGGACGCGGGUUCGAUUCCCGCCAGCUCCACCA